UGUUUGUCUUCUGUGUCUCUUUUUAUUCUUGAUAGAUUUCCCAGCCUCACUGAUGCUAAUCUCCUUGUCCAGGAAUCAGCAAAGAGUAAUUAGCCUCUGUGAUAAUGAUCUAUCUGUUGCAAGAUCAUGCCCUUCCAUCACACACCAUCUCGCAUGUUUUCUAACUAAGCACAGGAGCUGCUGUGGAGAAUGAGCACAGCCCUCGCAUGAUGUUAGGCAUCAGCUGCCCAAGCUCAGCAUGGAAGUGAUUCCCACUGCUGGUACCGGGCUCGGAGCCUCCCUGUCCAAGCUGGGCCUCGGCUGCCAUUACCACAGAGGCAGGGGGAGUUUCCUGAUGGGCAGAACCUGGCAACGGCAGAAAAAGAAAUCCAAACUUCCUUUGAUGAAAGAGAGCUCUGGAAUGGGUGUCUGUAGUUCGCCAGGAGAUAAGGCAAAGCAGAGAAGAGAACAAAUACAACAAUAAGAGCAACGUAAGUGGUGAGUUAACCUAGAAAACCGGAAGACCAUGAAUGUGUUGUUUGCCUGUGCUUAUGCUACAGUCUUUGAAACCACUGAAGAUAUGUGAAAUCUAUGAAAGCUAUGUAAAAGAAAAGUUGUAAUUUUUGGCUCAUCCCAGAAACCAUCAUUUCAAGAGACAGUAGAAUUAGCUUCUGUGUAUACUCCUUAUUUCACUUGUGUCAUGGAGAACUUAAAAUAUAAUGGAAAUGGGGAUUUUUAAGUUGCCAGGGGUACAUUUGCAGCUGCUAGUGUGCUGGCUGGUAACAUAUAGAGAGGAGCAGGGAAAAAAAUCCCAGCCUUCAGCCUGCAGAGCUCCUGAGGCAGAUGCUAACCCCAUGUGGGUGUUGCCAGCUGGCAGUGCAGGAGAGAAGCCCUUCCCUGCUUCAUGAGGAUCCCGCCUGCUUCCCCAGACAGCCUCAAGGAACAGCAAGGCUCCUCAGCACUGAUAGCUAGACCAUCCUCCUCUGUUCCUUACCUGUAAAAUAAAUUCAGAGUAGCGCUUGCA
rnacentral:lncRNA from 1 species